CUUUGGAAAACACAAGUGCCCCAUAAGUUCCCUCAGUGGUUCAUUGGAGAUGCCUUUGGUUGCUACUAAGUACUCGAUUCACAGUCUUUAUGGUUUCUUGGCUGUUAAUUCACUGCUGUCACAGUGUUUGAACUUCCUUUAGAAGGAGGGCAUUUCCGCCCACAACUUUGUCAGCCUAGCUUGAUUUGCUUCAGUAACAAAGAACUUGGCAGAGUUAUGAGGACAAACAGCAGAUUAUCAAUGGAUGUCACAUAAGCUGAUACAGCCAUGAAGUUGCUCACUGGUUAAAGAGAAGCAAUAAAAACAUUUCCCAUCCAAUUCUAGUAUGUGCGUUGAAAUGGAAGACUGAACAUUAAGACUGAGCAGAUGUUAUGGUUUGAUAACUAGUGGUCAAAUUAAUGCCAGCUGGAUUACAUCAGCAUGCAUUGAGAGAAGAUGCUCCACCUGAGAAGGCCAGGAUAAAUAGGUGGAGAAGAAGAGAGGUGUUGAGAGGGAUUGAGGCAUUAAGGAGACAUUGUGGGUUCUCCUACUAGUUGCUGUCUGAGCUGUUGGUUCUCCUGGAGAAGCUUUGGUCUUCACAUCGAGCAUUGCUUCCUGGCUCCGGAGGGGAAGACAUGUGCUGCCUGGUCUCCAGCAUGAACUCGUCAUGCUGCUUCCUGGCAUGUACCCGACUGUGCUUGUCGAAGGAGCUUGGGGCCUCCGUGUCGCUGAGGACAGCCGUGGUGCCUUUCAGGACAGCCCUGCUCUUUGCUGUGAGUGUGACUUCUCGGUUCCAGUGUAGAACCCUCAUCCCACUAGCACAGCUCCUUCAUCCUGCUGGCAUAGACUUUCUGGCUUCCACCACUGACCCUUGGGUCUUCCCGGCAUGGAUCCAUAAAAGAGACUGGCGUGAGUCCUUCUUGUGGGCUCUGGAUUUCCAGUUGGACUCGUGGAGGCAUUGUCCUGAGCUCUGGGUUUUUAUCUGGACUCAUGUGGGACAUUGCCUUGGGGUUUAGACUCUUGACUAAAUAAUCUAUGUCAUUGGUGUUGCAGAUAGAUUUCCUGCAUUCUCCUGUGUUAACUUCUGGUGAUCAUUAUAAAAACAUUAUAAACUCCA